rnacentral:rRNA from 1 species
GAUGAACGCUAGCUACAGGCUUAACACAUGCAAGUCGAGGGGCAGCAUGGUCUUAGCUUGCUAAGGCUGAUGGCGACCGGCGCACGGGUGAGUAACACGUAUCCAACCUGCCGUCUACUCUUGGCCAGCCUUCUGAAAGGAAGAUUAAUCCAGGAUGGGAUCAUGAGUUCACAUGUCCGCAUGAUUAAAGGUAUUUUCCGGUAGACGAUGGGGAUGCGUUCCAUUAGAUAGUAGGCGGGGUAACGGCCCACCAAGACGACGAUGGAUAGGGGUUCUGAGAGGAAGGUCCCCCACAUUGGAACUGAGACACGGUCCAA